AUUGAACGCUGGCGGCAUGCCUUACACAUGCAAGUCGAACGGUAACGGGCCUUCGGGUGCCGACGAGUGGCGAACGGGUGAGUAAUACAUCGGAACGUGCCCGAUCGUGGGGGAUAACGAGGCGAAAGCUUUGCUAAUACCGCAUACGAUCUACGGAUGAAAGCAGGGGACCGCAAGGCCUUGCGCGGACGGAGCGGCCGAUGGCAGAUUAGGUAGUUGGUGGGAUAAAAGCUUACCAAGCCGACGAUCUGUAGCUGGUCUGAGAGGAUGAUCAGCCACACUGGGACUGAGACACGGCCCAGACUCCUACGGGAGGCAGCAGUGGGGAAUUUUGGACAAUGGGCGCAAGCCUGAUCCAGCCAUGCCGCGUGCAGGAUGAAGGCCUUCGGGUUGUAAACUGCUUUUGUACGGAACGAAAAGCCUUCUUUUAAUACAGGAGGGUCAUGACGGUACCGCAAGAAUAAGCACCGGCUAACUACGUG
rnacentral:rRNA from 1 species